rnacentral:tRNA from 1 species
AGAAAUUUAGGAUAAGCACACAGUCCGAGCGCCUUCAAAGCACUAAGAGGGAGUGAAAGUCUCUCAUUUUCAG